GUCUCUUUGUGUGUUAUAAAUAAAGAGUUGGGCCUGCUCGGUGAUAAAAUUUAACAGCUGCGGUAUUUUAACUGUACUAAGGUAGCAUAAUAGUUUGCCUUAUAAUUUGAGGCUGGAAUGAAUGGUUUGACGAAGGGUAAUCUGUCUCUAUCUUAUUUAAUAGAAAUUAAUUUUUAAAGUGAAAAAGCUUAAAUUUUUUAAAGGGACGAGAAGACCCUAUUGAGCUUAUAUUUUAGGUUGAUUAUGGUAGAUAAUAAUACCAGGAUUUUAAUUGGGGGUGAUUAAGGAAUAAGGUAAAUAGAUAAUGUAGUAACUUCCUUAAAAUUAAAAUGUAUAUUUAUGAAUAACCCAAUUAUUUUAUUGCUUAUAAUAUAGUUACCAUAGGGAUAACAGCGUAAUUUAUUUAGAGAGUUCUUAUUAAAAAAUAAGAUUGCGACCUCGAUGUUGGAUUAAAGUAACCUUAGGGUGUAGAAGCUCUAAUUGGUAAAUCUGUUCGAUUUUUAAAACUUU
rnacentral:rRNA from 1 species